CUCUGACUCUCUCAAAACCAGAAAAAACACCAUCUCUCUCUAAGCCCCAACCUAGAGAUCAUCGACCUCACCAUCGACGAACUCAAUCGGCCAGCUCCGGCGAAGGACGGCAACUUUCGUUGAAGGACGACCAAUUUCGGCUAACACACAAGCAAUCUCUGAGAUUCGGGGAGUUUGGAGAGUGAUUCGAUGGGCAAGGG